UACGUAGGGUGCAAGCGUUAAUCGGAAUUACUGGGCGUAAAGCGUGCGCAGGCGGUUAUGUAAGACAGAUGUGAAAUCCCCGGGCUUAACCUGGGAACUGCAUUUGUGACUGCAAGGCUAGAGUACGGCAGAGGGGGGUAGAAUUCCACGUGUAGCAGUGAAAUGCGUAGAUAUGUGGAGGAAUACCGAUGGCGAAGGCAGCCCCCUGGGUCGAUACUGACGCUCAUGCACGAAAGCGUGGGGAGCAAACAGG
rnacentral:rRNA from 1 species